UAGCUUAGUUGGUAAAGUGCUCGUCUAGCCUACAAGAAUCCUGGGUUCGAAUCCCAG
rnacentral:tRNA from 1 species